GAUGAACGCUGGCGGCGUGCCUAAUACAUGCAAGUCGAGCGAACAGACGAGGAGCUUGCUCCUUUGACGUUAGCGGCGGACGGGUGAGUAACACGUGGAUAACCUACCUAUAAGACUGGGAUAACUUCGGGAAACCGGAGCUAAUACCGGAUAACAUGUUGAACCGCAUGGUUCAACAGUGAAAGACGGUCUUGCUGUCACUUAUAGAUGGAUCCGCGCCGCAUUAGCUAGUUGGUAAGGUAACGGCUUACCAAGGCAACGAUGCGUAGCCGACCUGAGAGGGUGAUCGGCCACACUGGAACUGAGACACGGUCCAGACUCCUACGGGAGGCAGCAGUAGGGGAUCUUCCGCAAUGGGCGAAAGCCUGACGGAGCAACGCCGCGUGAGUGAAGAAGGUCUUCGGAUCGUAAAACUCUGUUAUUAGGGAAGAACAAAUGUGUAAGUAACUAUGCACGUCUUGACGGUACCUAAUCAGAAAGCCACGGCUAACUACGUG
rnacentral:rRNA from 1 species